rnacentral:rRNA from 1 species
UACGUAGGGGCCUAGCGUUGUCCGGAUUUAUUGGGCGUAAAGAGCUCGUAGGCGGUUUGGUAAGUCGGGUGUGAAAUCUCCACGCUCAACGUGGAGGGGCCACCCGAUACUGCCAUGACUGGAGUCCGGUAGGGGAGUGUGGAAUUCCCGGUGUAGCGGUGAAAUGCGCAGAUAUCAGGAGGAACACCGGUGGCGAAGGCGGGUCUCUGGGCAGUAACUGACGCUGAGGAGCGAAGGCGUGGGGAGCGAACAGG